rnacentral:rRNA from 1 species
GUCUGGCCUGCCCACUGAAGUUUAAAGGGCCGCGGUAUUUUGACCGUGCGAAGGUAGCAUAAUCAUUAGUCUUUUAAUUGUGGGCUGGAAUGAAUGGUCGGACAAGAAGUAAGCUGUCUUUUCUAUAAGUUUGGAAUUUUACUUUUAAGUGAAAAGGCUUAAAUUUUUUUAAGGGACGAUAAGACCCUGUAAAACUUCACAGCAAUAUAGGUAUUCUUAGGAUUGGCUUAAAAAUUUGUUUACUUUAUGGCUGUUUUGUUGGGGCGACAAAGAUAUAAGAGAUAUAUAACUGUUUAAUAAACGAAAUAAAAAUUUUUAGUUUAAUUGAUCCCUUUUUAAGGGUUAGAAGAUCAAGUUACUUCAGGGAUAACAGCGUAAUUUUUUCUGAGAGUUCUUAUCGAUGAAAUUAGUUGCGACCUCGAUGUUGAAUUAAAGUUUCUGUCAAAUGCAGCAGUUUGAUAAGAGGGUCUGUUCGACCUU